AGAGUUUGAUCCUGGCUCAGAAUGAACGUUGGCGGCGUGGAUUAGGCAUGCAAGUCGCACGGGCCGCAAGGCCAGUGGCGGAAGGGUGAGUAAGGCGACGGUAACCAACCCCGAGAUUGGGCAUAGCCGCGGGAAACUGCGGGUAAUUCCCAGCGACGUCCGCGUCGGGCAUCCGAUGCGGACCAAAGUCCUGGCGUCUC
rnacentral:rRNA from 1 species